rnacentral:misc_RNA from 1 species
GCAAACUUGGUCAUUUAGAGGAAGUAAAAGUCGUAACAAGGUCUCCGUAGGUGAACCUGCGGAGGGAUCAUUACCGAGCGAGGGCCUCCAGGUCCGACCUCCAACCCUUUGAUUUUAACCAACUCUUGUUGCCUCGGGGGCGACCCGGUCGCGUCGGCUUCCAGCCCGACGUCGGCGUCGGGGCCCCCGACGGACCCCGUCACAACUCUGCAUCUUUGCGUCGGGUUGAUCAGAAAAUCAAUUAAAACUUUCAACAACGGAUCUCUUGGUUCUGGCAUCGAUGAAGAACGCAGC